rnacentral:rRNA from 1 species
UGAAGAAUUUAUCCAACGGCGGGGGAUAGCCGGCCCAACGGCCGGGUAAUACCGCGUACGACCCUCGGGGGGCAUCCCCUGAAGGUGAAAGCCGCAAGGCGCCGAUGGAGAACUUCGCGGCCUAUCAGCUUGUUGGUGAGGUCAUGGCUCACCAAGGCGACGACGGGUAGCUGGUCCGAGAGGAUGACCAGCCACAUUGGGACUGAGACACGGCCCAGACUCCGUACGGGAGGCAG